CCUACGGGAGGCAGCAGUAAGGAAUAUUGGACAAUGCUCGCAAGAGUGAUCCAGCCAUGCCGCGUGCAGGAAGAAUGCCCUAUGGGUAGUAAACUGCUUUUGAACUAGAGAAAACCCCCAGUACGUGUACUGGGCUGAUAGUAUAGUUAGAAUAAGCAUCGGCUAACUUCGUGCCAGCAGCCGCGGUAAGACGAAGGAUGCAAGCGUUAUCCGGAUUCAUUGGGUUUAAAGGGAGCGUAGGUGGACUGAUAAGUCAGUGGUGAAAUCUCCGAGCUUAACUCGGAAAUUGCCAUUGAUACUGUUGGUCUUGAGUACAGUUGCUGUGGGCGGAAUAUGACAUGUAGUGGUGAAAUACAUAGAGAUGUCAUAGAACACCGAUUGCGAAGGCAGCUCACAAAGCUGUAACUGACACUGAGGCUCGAAAGUGCGGGGAUCAAACAGGAUUAGAUACCCUGGUAGUCCGCACCGUAAACGAUGAUUACUGCUGCUAGGGGGCAACCGUUUAGUGGCUUAGCGAAAGCGAGUAGUUAAUUACUACGUUGGAGGUACGCGGCGACGAGACGACGAAGAGAGUUAGACGGCGNGAGGACGNGCGACGGACGACGACGAGGGAGGUAGG
rnacentral:rRNA from 1 species